UUACGAUUUCUUCGGAAUGACGAUUUAGUGACUGAGUGGCGGACGGGUGAGUAACGCGUGGGUAACCUGCCUUACACGAGGGGGAUAACAGUUAGAAAUGACUGCUAAUACCGCAAUAAAACAGCAGCACCGCAUGGUGCGACUGUACAAAGUAUUUAUCGGUGUAAGAUCGGACCCGCGUCUGAUUAGCCAGUUGGUGGGGUAACGGCCUACCAAAGCGACGAUCAGUAGCCGACCUGAGAGGGUGACCGGCCACAUUGGGACUGAGACACGGCCCAAACUCC
rnacentral:rRNA from 1 species